rnacentral:rRNA from 1 species
GCCACUGCUAUUGGGGUUCAGCUAAGCCAUGCGAGUGGAGGGCGUCCCGCAAGGGAUGGCCCCGCAGACGGCUCAGUAACACGUGGUCAACCCACCUUAGGGUGGGGGACAACCUCGGGAAACUGAGGAUAAUCCCCCAUAGGCGGGGGAGGCUGGAAUGCGCCCCCGCUGAAAGCCCAGGCGCCCUAGGACGGGACGGCGGCCUAUCAGGUAGUUGGUGGUGUGACG